CCUAUGGGAGGCAGCAGUGAGGAAUAUUGGUCAAUGGGCGAGAGCCUGAACCAGCCAAGUCGCGUGAAGGAUGACGGCCCUACGGGUUGUAAACUUCUUUUGUCAGGGAGCAAUUGGGUCCACGCGUGGGCUUAGCGAGAGUACCUGAAGAAAAAGCAUCGGCUAACUCCGUGCCAGCAGCCGCGGUAAUACGGAGGAUCCGAGCGUUAUCCGGAUUUAUUGGGUUUAAAGGGAGCGUAGGUGGAUUGUUAAGUCAGUUGUGAAAGUUUGCGGCUCAACCGUAAAAUUGCAGUUGAAACUGGCAGUCUUGAGUACAGUAGAGGUGGGCGGAAUUCGUGGUGUAGCGGUGAAAUGCUUAGAUAUCACGAAGAACUCCGAUUGCGAAGGCAGUUCACUGGACUGCAACUGACACUGAGGCUCGAAAGUGUGGGUAUCAAACAGGAUUAGAUACCCUUGUAGUC
rnacentral:rRNA from 1 species